rnacentral:rRNA from 1 species
CAGUAGCCGCGGUAAUACGUAGGUCCCGAGCGUUGUCCGGAUUUAUUGGGCGUAAAGCGAGCGCAGGCGGUUAGAUAAGUCUGAAGUUAAAGGCUGUGGCUUAACCAUAGUACGCUUUGGAAACUGUUUAACUUGAGUGCAAGAGGGGAGAGUGGAAUUCCAUGUGUAGCGGUGAAAUGCGUAGAUAUAUGGAGGAACACCGGUGGCGAAAGCGGCUCUCUGGCUUGUAACUGACGCUGAGGCUCGAAAGCGUGGGGAGCAAACAGGAUUAGAUACCCCCGUAGUCCCUGUCUCUUAUACC